rnacentral:tRNA from 1 species
GGUAAUAGCUCAGUGGUAGAGCAUGUGGUUAGCAUGCAUGAAGUCCUGGAUUCGAUCCCCAGUACCG